rnacentral:rRNA from 1 species
AACAAACGCUGGCGGCGUGCCUAACACAUGCAAGUCGUACGAGAAAGGGUCCUUCGGGGCCUGAGUAAAGUGGCGCACGGGUGAGUAACGCGUGGAUAAUCUGCCCUUCAGUUGGGAAUAACUCAUCGAAAGGUGGGCUAAUACCGAAUAAUGCUGUGAGACCUCGGUUGAUCAGCCAAAGGGAGCCUCUGCUUGCAAGCCCUCGCUGAAGGAUGAGUCCGCGUACCAUUAGCUAGUUGGUAGGGUAAUGGCCUACCAAGGCGACGAUGGUUAGCUGGUCUGGGAGGAUGAUCAGCCACACUGGAACUGAGACACGGUCCAGACUCCUACGGGAGGCAGCAGUGAGGAAUCUUGCGCAAUGGGGGCAACCCUGACGCAGCAACGCCGCGUGAGUGAGGAAGGUCUUCGGAUCGUAAAGCUCUGUCGGAUGGAAAGAACCGCAUAGGGGUAAACAGCCCCUGUGUCUGACGGUACCAUCAAAGGAAGCACCGGCUAACUCCGUGCCAGCAGCCGCCGUAACAC